CAGUCGCCGCGGUAAUGCAGAGGAUGCAAGCGUUAUCCGGAAUGAUUGGGCGUAAAGCGUCUGUAGGUGGCUUUUCAAGUCAGUCGUCAAAUCCCUGGGCUCAACCCUGGACAAGCAGUGGAAACUACCAAGCUGGAGUAUAGUAGGGGCAGAGUGAAUUUCCGGUGGAGCGAUGAAAUGCGUUGAGAUCAGAAAGAACACCAACGGCGAAAGCACUCUGCUGGGCCGACACUGACACUGAGAGACGAAAGCUAGGGGAGCAAAUGGGAUUAGAUACCCGCGUAGUCCCUGUCUCUUAUAC
rnacentral:rRNA from 1 species